rnacentral:rRNA from 1 species
AUUGAACGCUGGCGGCAGGCCUAACACAUGCAAGUCGGACGGUAGCACAGAGAGCUUGCUCUCGGGUGACGAGUGGCGGACGGGUGAGUAAUGUCUGGGAAACCGCCCGAUGGAGGGGGAUAACUACUGGAAACGGUAGCUAAUACCGCAUAACGUCUUCGGACCAAAGUGGGGGACCUUCGGGCCUCACACCAUCGGAUGUGCCCAGAUGGGAUUAGCUAGUAGGUGGGGUAAUGGCUCACCUAGGCGACGAUCCCUAACUGGUCUGAGAGGAUGACCAGCCACGCUGGAACUGAGACACGGUCCAGACUCCGACGGGAGGCAGCAGUGGGGAAUAUUGCACAAUGGGCGCAAGCCUGAUGCAGCCAUGCCGCGUGUAUGAAGGAGGCCUUCGGGUUGUAAAGUACUUUCAGCGGGGAGGAAGGCGAUGAGGUUAAUAACCGCAUCGAUUGACGUUACCCGCAGAAGAAGCACCGGCUAACUCCUUGCCAGCCGCCGCGGUAA